rnacentral:rRNA from 1 species
ACACUCCUGCGGGAGGCAGCAGUGGGGAAUUUUGGACAAUGGGCGAAAGCCUGAUCCAGCAAUGCCGCGUGCAGGAUGAAGGCCUUCGGGUUGUAAACUGCUUUUGUACGGAACGAAAAAGCUCCUUCUAAUACAGGGGGCCCAUGACGGUACCGUAAGAAUAAGCACCGGCUAACUACGUGCCAGCAGCCGCGGUAAUACGUAGGGUGCGAGCGUUAAUCGGAAUUACUGGGCGUAAAGCGUGCGCAGGCGGUUAUGUAAGACAGAUGUGAAAUCCCCGGGCUCAACCUGGGAACUGCAUUUGUGACUGCAUGGCUAGAGUACGGUAGAGGGGGAUGGAAUUCCGCGUGUAGCAGUGAAAUGCGUAGAUAUGCGGAGGAACACCGAUGGCGAAGGCAAUCCCCUGGACCUGUACUGACGCUCAUGCACGAAAGCGUGGGGAGCAAACAGGAUUAGAAACCCUGGUAGUCCCAUG